rnacentral:tRNA from 1 species
GGCGAGGUUGACCCCAGUAGGUGCGGGGAGCAGUCUUGAAAACUGUCGGUCGUGAUGAGCGGCUUGUGGGUUCGAGUCCCUCCCUCGCCG